rnacentral:rRNA from 1 species
AUGAACGCUGGCGGCGUGCCUAAUACAUGCAAGUCGAGCGAACAGACGAGGAGCUUGCUCCUCUGACGUUAGCGGCGGACGGGUGAGUAACACGUGGAUAACCUACCUAUAAGACUGCGAUAACUUCGGGAAACCGGAGCUAAUACCGGAUAAUAUAUUGAACCGCAUGGUUCAAUAGUGAAAGACGGUUUUGCUGUCACUUAUAGAUGGAUCCGCGCCGCAUUAGCUAGUUGGUAAGGUAACGGCUUACCAAGGCAACGAUGCGUAGCCGACCUGAGAGGGUGAUCGGCCACACUGGAACUGAGACACGGUCCAGACUCCUACGGGAGGCAGCAGUAGGGAAUCUUCCGCAAUGGGCGAAAGCCUGACGGAGCAACGCCGCGUGAGUGAUGAAGGUCUUCGGAUCGUAAAACUCUGUUAUUAGGGAAGAACAAAUGUGUAAGUAACUAUGCACGUCUUGACGGUACCUAAUCAGAAAGCCACGGCUAACUACGUG